UACGUAGGGGGCUAGCGUUGUCCGGAAUCAUUGGGCGUAAAGCGCGUGUAGGCGGCCUGACAAGUCUGCUGUGAAAACUCGAGGCUCAACCUCGAGAUGUCGGCGGAAACUGUCUGGCUAGAGUCCGGAAGAGGAGAGUGGAAUUCCUGGUGUAGCGGUGAAAUGCGCAGAUAUCAGGAAGAACACCUAUGGCGAAGGCAGCUCUCUGGGACGGUACUGACGCUGAGACGCGAAAGCGUGGGGAGCGAACAGG
rnacentral:rRNA from 1 species